rnacentral:misc_RNA from 1 species
UACAAAAAAAUUAAGUAUCAUGAAUCUGAUAUCUAUUUCAGGACAAGCAACCAGUAUCCCUUCCCUAAGCAAGCUCCACACACCAGCUGUAAAUCAACCAAUGACAACACUACCUCCAGCAUGCCUCCUCCAACAUGCAGGGGAUCAACCAAUCACAGAACAGCAGGGCAGAGGACAACAAGUGUACAUGUGUCAUAUAAAAUUACAGGACAGACUGCUCAGAGCGUGAAAAGAUCCAGCCGACAAGCAACCAGUAUCCCUUCCCUAAGCAAGCUCCACACACCAGCUGUAAAUCAACCAAUGACAACACUACCUCCAGCAUGCCUCCUCCAACAUGCAGGGGAUCAACCAAUCACAGAACAGCAGGGCAGAGGACAACAAGUGUAUAUGUGUCAUAUAAAAUUACAGGACAGACUGCUCAGAGCGUGAAAAGAUCCAGCCGACAAGCAACCAGUAUCCCUUCCCUAAGCAAGCUCCACACACCAGCUGUAAAUCAACCAAUGACAACACUACCUCCAGCAUGCCUCCUCCAACAUGCAGGGGAUCAACCAAUCACAGAACAGCAGGGCAGAGGACAACAAGUGUAUAUGUGUCAUAUAAAGUUACAGGACAGACUGCUCAGAGCGUGAAAAGAUCCAGCCGACAAGCAACCAGUAUCCCUUCCCUAAGCAAGCUCCACACACCAGCUGUAAAUCAACCAAUGACAACACUACCUCCAGCAUGCCUCCUCCAACAUGCAGGGGAUCAACCAAUCACAGAACAGCAGGGCAGAGGACAACAAGUGUAUAUGUGUCAUAUAAAAUUACAGGACAGACUGCUCAGAGCGUGAAAAGAUCCAGCCGACAAGCAACCAGUAUCCCUUCCCUAAGCAAGCUCCACACACCAGCUGUAAAUCAACCAAUGACAACACUACCUCCAGCAUGCCUCCUCCAACAUGCAGAGGAUCAACCAAUCACAGAACAGCAGGGCAGAGGACAACAAGUGUACAUGUGUCAUAUAAAAUUACAGGACAGACUGCUCAGAGCGUGAAAAGAUCCAGCCGACAAGCAACCAGUAUCCCUUCCCUAAGCAAGCUCCACACACCAGCUGUAAAUCAACCAAUGACAACACUACCUCCAGCAUGCCUCCUCCAACAUGCAGGGGAUCAACCAAUCACAGAACAGCAGGGCAGAGGACAACAAGUGUAUAUGUGUCAUAUAAAAUUACAGGACAGACUGCUCAGAGCGUGAAAAGAUCCAGCCGUAAGUGCUGACGGGUUUUCGUGGACAAGCAACCAGUAUCCCUUCCCUAAGCAAGCUCCACACACCAGCUGUAAAUCAACCAAUGACAACACUACCUCCAGCAUGCCUCCUCCAACAUGCAGGGGAUCAACCAAUCACAGAACAGCAGGGCAGAGGACAACAAGUGUAUAUGUGUCAUAUAAAAUUACAGGACAGACUGCUCAGAGCGUGAAAAGAUCCAGCCGACAAGCAACCAGUAUCCCUUCCCUAAGCAAGCUCCACACACCAGCUGUAAAUCAACCAAUGACAACACUACCUCCAGCAUGCCUCCUCCAACAUGCAGGGGAUCAACCAAUCACAGAACAGCAGGGCAGAGGACAACAAGUGUAUAUGUGUCAUAUAAAGUUACAGGACAGACUGCUCAGAGCGUGAAAAGAUCCAGCCGACAAGCAACCAGUAUCCCUUCCCUAAGCAAGCUCCACACACCAGCUGUAAAUCAACCAAUGACAACACUACCUCCAGCAUGCCUCCUCCAACAUGCAGGGGAUCAACCAAUCACAGAACAGCAGGGCAGAGGACAACAAGUGUAUAUGUGUCAUAUAAAAUUACAGGACAGACUGCUCAGAGCGUGAAAAGAUCCAGCCGACAAGCAACCAGUAUCCCUUCCCUAAGCAAGCUCCACACACCAGCUGUAAAUCAACCAAUGACAACACUACCUCCAGCAUGCCUCCUCCAACAUGCAGGGGAUCAACCAAUCACAGAACAGCAGGGCAGAGGACAACAAGUGUAUAUGUGUCAUAUAAAAUUACAGGACAGACUGCUCAGAGCGUGAAAAGAUCCAGCCGUAAGUGCUGACGGGUUUUCGUGGUACGCGUGUGCGCUUUUUUUUCAAACAUUUUUUA